UUGUUUUGAGUUGAGUUUUGGUUCACCAAUCUACUAGGCUUUGAAUUUCUUGGUUAAUGUUUUGUUUUUGAGUGCAUGCAAGCAUGAUUCCGCCUUUAAUUGUUAAUUGCAUGCUAUAUGAUGUUGCUCAAAUGAACAUGUUUUCACAAAAAUAAUCCUUCACCCCCCAACGCGGUAACAACACCACCAGCGAUUAUAUGUAAAUUUUUAUUUUAAAUUGUUUUCAAAUUUAAAAAUACUUUUUUUUCCAUUGUAUGUAAAUUUUCAAUAAUUUUUUAAUUCAAUAUUCUUUUUUACAUUUUCUAUUUUUAAUUUCAUUACAUUAAUUUUUACAUAAA
rnacentral:lncRNA from 1 species